CGGCGUGCUUAACACAUGCAAGUCGAACGGGAUCCAUUGGUGCUUGCACUUUUGGUGAGAGUGGCGAACGGGUGAGUAACACGUGAGUAACCUGCCCUUUUCUUUGGGAUAAGCCUGGGAAACUGGGUCUAAUACUGGAUGUUCCGGCUUCCUCGCAUGGGGUUGUUGGGAAAGGUUUUUUCUGGAUUGGGAUGGGCUCGCGGCUUAUCAGCUUGUUGGUGGGGUGAUGGCUUACCAAGGCUUUGACGGGUAGCCGGCCUGAGAGGGUGGUCGGUCACACUGGGACUGAGAUACGGCCCAGACUCCUACGGGAGGCAGCAGUGGGGGAUAUUGCACAAUGGACGCAAGUCUGAUGCAGCGACGUCGUGUGGGGGAUGAAGGCCUUCGGGUUGUAAACUCCUUUCGCCUGCGGAAAAGGCAGGGUUUUGGCCUUGUUGAUGGUAGUGGGUAAAGAAGCGCCSGCUAACUACGUGCCAGCMGCCGCGGUAAUACGUAGGGCGCGAGCGUUGYCCGGAWUUAUUGGGCGUAAAGSSCUCGUAGSCGG
rnacentral:rRNA from 1 species